UACAGAGGGUGCGAGCGUUAAUCGGAAUUCCUGGGCGUAAAGCGCGCGUAGGCGGCUUUGCAAGUCGGGUGUGAAAUCCCCAGGCUUAACCUGGGAACUGCAUUCGAGACUGCAUUGCUAGAGUAUGGGAGAGGGAAGUGGAAUUCCAGGUGUAGCGGUGAAAUGCGUAGAUAUCUGGAGGAACACCGGUGGCGAAGGCGACAUCCUGGACCGGUAUUGACGCUGAGGCGCGAAAGCCAGGGGAGCAAACGGG
rnacentral:rRNA from 1 species